UACGAAGGGUGCAAGCGUUACUCGGAAUUACUGGGCGUAAAGCGUGCGUAGGUGGUGAGUUAAGUCUGUCGUGAAAAGCCCCCGGGCUCAACCUGGGAAUGGCGAUGGAUACUGGCUCGCUAGAGUGCGGUAGAGGAGAGUGGAAUUUCCCGGUGUAGCAGUGAAAUGCGUAGAGAUCGGGAGGAACAUCAGUUGCGAAGGCGGCCAUCUGGGACAACACUGACGCUGAGGCACGAAAGCGUGGGGAGCAAACAGG
rnacentral:rRNA from 1 species